CGUCAAGUCAUCAUGCCCCUUAUGCCCAGGGCUGCAAACAUGCUACAAUGGCCGGUACAAAGGGCUGCGAAACCGCGAGGUUGAGCGAAUCCCGUAAAGCCGGUCCCAGUUCGGAUUGCAGGCUGAAACUCGCCUGCAUGAAGCCGGAAUCGCUAGUAACGGUAGGUCAGCACACUACCGUGAAUACGUUCCCGGGUCUU
rnacentral:rRNA from 1 species